ACAUUUUUAGCCUUGGUGUAAUUUUGCUAGAGAUUGUAAGAGGCAAAAGGAACAGAGGGUUAUGCCAUCCUGAUCAUCAACACAAUCUUCUUGGGCAUGCAUGGUUGCUGUGGAGCGCAGGCAGGUCCUUGGUGCUUCUACAUAAAUCUCUAUGCGACUCCUUCAUUGCAUCCCAAGUAGAGAGAUGCAUUCAUGUAGGUUUGCCAUGUGUCCAAAAGUUUCCCGGAGGCAGGCCAACAAUGUCUUCAGUCGUUUUCAUGUUAGCGAAUGAGGAAGCAAUCUUGCCACAGCCUAAACAGCCCGGGUUCUUCAUGGAGAGAGUUCCAUCGAGCCCAUAGGCAUCUUCAAUGAGGGAAGAAUCAUGCACAAGGAAUAUCGUGACAAUCACCAUGCCGGAAGGUCGAUGAACUUCCCAUCGAGGAUGUUCCCCGCAAUGUGCAACUUAGAAUUUUAAAUCAGCUCUCUCGGCGCAUGAAGAUAAAAAGGAUCAGAAGAGUGUGUACACGAAUCUGUUGCUUCCUCGCAGAUCGAGGACUGUCUAGCGUAGGACGAGGCCUACAAUAAAGGAUUCAAGUUUUUAUGAUUCGGUGGCUUAAGCAACUUGGUGGAAGCCUUUUUAUUGAAAGUUCAUUGUCAAUGAUUAUUUGUAGAGAUAAAUAAUAUCGACUCUCUAGCCUUUUAUAUGAGCAAA